rnacentral:rRNA from 1 species
GAUUUUGGCUCAGGAUGAACGCUGGCGGCGUGCUUAACACAUGCAAGUCAAACGGGAAUGCCGCGCUGAUGCGAUUUCGGUCAAAUCAUGUGGCAUUCAAGUGGCGGACGGGUGAGUAACGCGUGGGUAACCUGCCUUACACAGGGGGAUAACACCUGGAAACAGGUGCUAAUACCGCAUAAGCGCACAGGGCCGCAUGGCCCGGUGUGAAAAACUCCGGUGGUGUAAGAUGGACCCCCGUCUGAUUAGCUUGUUGGCGGGGUAGGGGCCCACCAAGGCGACCAUCAGUAGCCGGCCUGAGAGGGUGGACGGCCACAUUGGGACUGAGACACUGACCAAACUCCUACGGGAGGCAUCUCUGGGGGAUAUUGGACAAUGGGGGAAACCCUGAUCCAGCGACGCCGCGUGAGUGAAGAAGUAUUUCGGUAUGUAAAGCUCUGUCAGCAGGGAUGAAAGAAAUGACGGUACCUGACCAAGAAGCCCCGGCUAACUACGUGCCAGCAGCCGCGGUAAUACGUAGGGGGCAAGCGUUAUCCGGAAUUAUUGGGUGUAAAGGGAGCGUAGACGGUGAUGCAAGUCUGGAGUGAAAGCCGUGGGCCCAACCCCCGGAGUGCUUUGGAAACUGUGUAACUUGAGUGCAGGAGAGGUAAGCGGAAUUCCUAGUGUAGCGGUGAAAUGCGUAGAUAUUAGGAGGAACACCAGUGGCGAAGGCGGCUUUCUGGUCUGUAACUGACGUUGAGGCUCGAAAGCGUGGGGAGCAAACAGGAUUAGAUACCCUGGUAGUCCCCUGCCGUAAACGAUGA